AGAGUUUGAUCAUGGCUCAGAACGAACGCUGGCGGCAGGCUUAACACAUGCAAGUCGAGCGCAAUACUAUCUUCGGAUAGUGGAGAGCGGCGGACGGGUGAGUAACGCGUGGGAACCUACCCUUUGGUUCGGAAUAACUUUGGGAAACUGAAGCUAAUACCGGAUACGCCCCGUAAGGGGGAAAGAUUUAUUGCCGAAGGAGGGGCCCGCGUUGGAUUAGGUAGUUGGUAGGGUAAUGGCCUACCAAGCCGACGAUCCAUAGCUGUUCUGAGAGGAAGAUCAGCCACACUGGGACUGAGACACGGCCCAGACUCCUACGGGAGGCAGCAGUGGGGAAUCUUGGACAAUGGGGGAAACCCUGAUCCAGCCAUGCCGCGUGAAUGAAGAAGGCCUUAGGGUUGUAAAGUUCUUUUAGUGGGGAAGAUAAUGACGGUACCCACAGAAAAAGCCCCGGCUAACUCCGUGCCAGCAGCCGCGGUAAU
rnacentral:rRNA from 1 species